rnacentral:rRNA from 1 species
CGGACGGGUGAGUAAUGUCUGGGAAACUGCCUGAUGGAGGGGGAUAACUACUGGAAACGGUAGCUAAUACCGCAUAACGUCGCAAGACCAAAGAGGGGACCUUAGGGCCUCUUGCCAUCGGAUGUGCCCAGAUGGGAUUAGCUAGUAGGUGGGGUAACGGCUUACCUAGGCGACGAUCCCUAGCUGGUCUGAGAGGAUGAUCAGCCACACUGGGACUGAGACACGGCCCAG